rfam:Ictidomys tridecemlineatus contig018444, whole genome shotgun sequence.
GUGGUUAUAGCUCAGUGGUAGAGCACUUGCUUAGCAUGUGUGAGGCAUGGGUUUGAUCCUCAGUACCACA